rnacentral:lncRNA from 1 species
CUGUAUGGUCCACGGGGAUAAUGAUGUCUAUAAACGUGAGCCAGAACUCGUUUCAGUUGCUUCAAGCUAACUCAAUGGAUAGACGUUUGAGCGACCAUUCAACCUUCAAAAUCCCACCUGGAUCUUUUGGCAUGUUCACAAUCAUAGCCCUAAUAGCAUGGGUGGUUCUCUACGACCGUGCAAUCCUCCCAUUAGCUUCCAAGAUCCGAGGCAAACCGGUUAGAAUCAAUGUCAAGAUCAGAAUGGGGUUAGGUCUAUUCAUAUCCUUCCUAGCAAUGGCGGUUUCCGCAACUGUCGAGCAUUACAGAAGGAGAACCGCAAUAAGCCAAGGACUUGCAAACAACGCCAACGGGAUAGUGAACAUCUCAGCGAUGUGGCUCGUACCGCAGUAUGUGCUUCACGGUUUGGCAGAGGCCUUAACCGGGAUAGGACAGACGGAGUUUUUCUAUACCGAGUUUCCUAAAAGCAUGUCUAGCAUUGCGGCUGCCUUGUUUGGUCUAGGAAUGGCAGUGGCUAAUAUAUUGGCUAGUGUGAUCCUCAAUGUGGUCAAGAAUAGCUCAAAGAAGGGUGGAGAGAGCUGGAUUGAAGAUAAUAUCAACAAGGGUCAUUAUGAUUAUUACUAUUGGGUUUUAGCCAUCUUGAGCUUCGUUAAUGUCAUUUAUUACAUAGUGUGUAGCUGGUCGUAUGGUCCCGCGAUGGACCAGUUGAGGAAUGAUAAGGUUAAUGGUGUGAGAGGAGAAGAACAAGAAGAAGCUGUUAAAUUAAACUAAAGAUGCAUGGUGUGUGUUAUAUAAUCUAAUAUAUUUGUAUACAUGUAAUUAUAAUUAUAUAUAUUUGGAUUUGGAUUUAGGAAAGUGAGGAUUAUCUUAGUAGGUGUGUAUUAUUCCUUAGAGAAGCCACUACUGGUGUGUAUGCCUAAGAGCAUAUGCAAUGGUGAGGUUCACCAAUGAAUCUUUAGGAAUAUUUUAGUAAUAUUUUUUUUUUUUUUGGUUUUUGUUUGAAUAGUUAAGGAUUCGAAUCAAACUGAUCGUCCAAUGGUGUUUCCGAAGAUAAAAUCCUUAGGAAAAAAAUUUUAAAUUGAAAUUGAAAUUUUAUUAAUUGCAUGAUUAAAAAUAAAGAUACAAUGAUUAAAUAUAAAGAUAUAAAGAUACACUAAUUAUUAAUCUUCAUCACCAAAUUUCUUCCAAAUAUUUUCGAUUAAAUCAUUCUUCAAUCGUUCAUGCAUAUACUCAUCACGAAGAUCAUUCCGAUUGGGAAACAUAUUAUUCAGAUUUGUAGGCCUCUUGGUUUCCACCUGUGAACUUCUGGUGACGUCUCCUUCUUCAAAUUCAGAUAUAUCGUACCGCAUGUAUCCAUCUCGUUCAUUUUCAACUAUCAUAUUGUGUAGUAUGUUACAUGCUCUCAUAGCCUUUCCUAUCUUUUCUUUGUUCAAUGUAUGAACCAGGUUUUUGACAAUCGCAAAUCGAGCUUGCAAUACUCUAAAAGCCCGCUCCACAUCUUUUCGGGCUGCUUCUUGAACUUUAGCAUUAUUCCUUAGAGAAGCCACUACUGGUGUGUAUGCCUAAGAGCAUAUGCAAUGGUGAGGUUCACCAAUGAAUCUUUAGGAAUAUUUUAGUAAUAUUUUUUUUUUUUUUGGUUUUUGUUUGAAUAGUUAAGGAUUCGAAUCAAACUGAUCGUCCAAUGGUGUUUCCGAAGAUAAAAUCCUUAGGAAAAAAAUUUUAAAUUGAAAUUGAAAUUUUAUUAAUUACAUGAUUAAAAAUAAAGAUACAAUGAUUAAAUAUAAAGAUAUAAAGAUACACUAAUUAUUAAUCUUCAUCACCAAAUUUCUUCCAAAUAUUUUCGAUUAAAUCAUUCUUCAAUCGUUCAUGCAUAUGCUCAUCACGAAGAUCAUUCCGAUUGGGAAACAUAUUAUUCAGAUUUGUAGGCCUCUUGGUUUCCACCUGUGAACUUCUGGUGACGUCUCCUUCUUCAAAUUCAGAUAUAUCGUACCGCAUGUAUCCAUCUCGUUCAUUUUCAACUAUCAUAUUGUGUAGUAUGAUACAUGCUCUCAUAAUCUUCCCUAUCUUUUCUUUGUUCAAUGUACGAACCGGGUUUUUGACAAUCGCAAAUCGAGCUUGCAAUACUCCAAAAGCCCGCUCCACAUCUUUUCGGACUGCUUCUUGAGCUUUAGCAAAUAACUCUUGUUUUGGAGAUUGAGGGAGUUUGAUAGAUUGGAUAAAUGUUGACCAUUUUGGAUAUAUACCGUCUGUUAGAUAGUAUGCCAACUUAUACCUGUGUCCGUUGACCAUGUACCUUACCCUGGGAGCUCGACCUUCAAAAAUGUCAUCAAACACAGGAGACCGAUCGAGGACAUUGAUAUCAUUUAAGGUACCUGGAGGACCAAAAAAAGCGUGCCAUAUCCAAAGAUCUUGUGAAGAAACAGCCUGUAAGACAAUUGUCGGUUUUCCUGAUCCACGUGCGUAUUGUCAUUUCCAAGCGGUCGGGCAAUUUUUCCACUCCCAAUGCAUACAAUCAAUGCUCCCGACCAUCCCAGGAAACCCUCGUUUUUCUACAAUAUCGAGUAGUCGUUGAAGAUCCUCCGGUGUGGGUCGUCGUAGAUAGUCAUUUCCGAAUAACUGUAUUAUUCCGUCAGUGAAAUUAUGUAAACAGGAAAGUGCAGUGGUCUCACCAAGUCGGAGAUUUGUGUAUCAAGCAACCAAGAGGAAGACAUUGGUGCUGAUGGUUUGGCCUUAAACCCAUGGAGGCUCUGUACAACGGACCGAGUUGAGGAACUCAAGGCUUUGGUCAAGGUGAUACCGGUAUGGUCCACGGGGAUAAUGAUGUCUAUAAACGUGAGCCAGAACUCGUUUCAGUUGCUUCAAGCUAACUCAAUGGAUAGACGUUUGAGCGACCAUUCAACCUUCAAAAUCCCACCUGGAUCUUUUGGCAUGUUCACAAUCAUAGCCCUAAUAGCAUGGGUGGUUCUCUACGACCGUGCAAUCCUCCCAUUAGCUUCCAAGAUCCGAGGCAAACCGGUUAGAAUCAAUGUCAAGAUCAGAAUGGGGUUAGGUCUAUUCAU